GACGAACGCUGGCGGCGUGCUUAACACAUGCAAGUCGAACGGAAAGGCCCUGCUUUUGUGGGGUGCUCGAGUGGCGAACGGGUGAGUAACACGUGAGUAACCUGCCCUUGACUUUGGGAUAACUUCAGGAAACUGGGGCUAAUACCGGAUAGGAGCUCCUGCUGCAUGGUGGGGGUUGGAAAGUUUCGGCGGUUGGGGAUGGACUCGCGGCUUAUCAGCUUGUUGGUGGGGUAAUGGCUUACCAAGGCUUUGACGGGUAGCCGGCCUGAGAGGGUGACCGGCCACAUUGGGACUGAGAUACGGCCCAGACUCCUACGGGAGGCAGCAGUGGGGAAUAUUGCACAAUGGGCGGAAGCCUGAUGCAGCAACGCCGCGUGCGGGAUGACGGCCUUCGGGUUGUAAACCGUUUUCGCCUGUGACGAAGCGUGAGUGACGGUAAUGGGUAAAGAAGCACCGGCUAACUACGUG
rnacentral:rRNA from 1 species